GUUACUUCCUUUCUUUCUGCCAUGGCAUCUUUAUUGCAGAUCUUUAUGAGUCCUGAAUGACAUACUGGAGUUACCAUGAAGUAUGUUGUAUGCAAAUUUAAGCUUUUACACUUAUUAACUAUUUAAGUCAGUCCCCAAGCUAUGUAGACUUGUUCUUAAGUUGAAUUUGUAUGUAAGUUGAAACAGAUAGAUUUUUAAGUGUAACUCCAUCAAUAGAUAGACUUAGGAUCACCCUAAGUCUGAAAUGACUUGAAGACACACAACAACAAUCCUAAAUAAUGACUAUUUCAUCAGCCAAAAGCAGGCCCUCACUUCCCAUUGAAAUACCGAAACAUGCAGAGAACGAACAGAACAUUCAUGAGACAUGUAAAAACACCCAAUUAAACAUGUGAUGAGAAUCCCCGCCUGCCCAUUUGUAAAUAAAAUGAUGACGUCGGCAUGGGGAGGGGAGCCGAGAUGGGCAGUAUAGAAUCCCUUCUUUCACCAUAAUCUCGAGAACUGAGCAGGUAAUUUAUAUCUUUCUUAACAAUGGCUAAUGCUUCUUCAGGUGGGUGGCUCUCAUUGAAAUAAGUGUUUAAAAAUGAUGCCUUAACUCAGCUAUAGCUGAAGGGUGUUGAAGGCAAAUGACACCAGAAAAAGUAGCUUCUUAAGUGUUAUGUCUUAUGUAGUUGCAGGGUAUGAGGGCAAACCACUCCAGAAAAAGUGGUUCUUUAAGACUGGUGCCUUAAAUCAGCUGUAGUUGAAGGGUAUGAGGGAAAACAACAUGGGCAGGAGGAGACAGUGGGGGGAGGCAUAUGUGUCCUGUGUGAUGGCAAAUCAAAUGGAUAAA
rnacentral:lncRNA from 1 species